AGUAUCUCUGGUUGGAUAUUUCUCCUUGUGUCCCAGUGAAUCUAGAUGUUCGUUUGCUUUCUUUUGGACCCCAGUUAGAAGAAUCCCAAUUCUCAGAUACAAGCAGAAGGAAGUCCUGAGCAGAAACACUCAGGUCAGGGAGAUGAGACUCCCCAGGGACUUUCUACUGCUGCUGAAAGAGCUAAAGGUUUAAGACUCUCAUCUGCUCCACAAAAACAGGAAGGACAGGAAUCUGGUUGCCACAGAUGAGGCUCUGCAGUGUGUGUGGAGGCACGUUCCUUUCUGCUGGCACUGCUACAAGAUGGAUUGUUCUGCAGUCAGUUGGGUGGGUAGCUGGGGGAAGUGGGAUCCACCAGGAAAG